rnacentral:rRNA from 1 species
UGGGGAAUUUUGGGACAAUGGGGGAAACCCUGAUCCAGCCAUCCCGCGUGUGCGAUGAAGGCCUUCGGGUUGUAAAGCACUUUUGGCAGGAAAGAAACGUCGCGGGUUAAUACCCCGCGAAACUGACGGUACCUGCAGAAUAAGCACCGGCUAACUACGUGCCAGCAGCCGCGGUAAUACGUAGGGUGCAAGCGUUAAUCGGAAUUACUGGGCGUAAAGCGUGCGCAGGCGGUUCGGAAAGAAAGAUGUGAAAUCCCAGAGCUUAACUUUGGAACUGCAUUUUUAACUACCGGGCUAGAGUGUGUCAGAGGGAGGUGGAAUUCCGCGUGUAGCAGUGAAAUGCGUAGAUAUGCGGAGGAACACCGAUGGCGAAGGCAGCCUCCUGGGAUAACACUGACGCUCAUGCACGAAAGCGUGGGGAGCAAACAGGAUUAGAUACCCUGGUAGUCCACGCCCUAAACGAUGUCAACUAGCUGUUGGGGCCUUCGGGCCUUGGUAGCGCAGCUAACGCGUGAAGUUGACCGCCUGGGGAGUACGGUCGGCAAGAUUAAAACUCAAAGG